AGCGAGUCAAAGGACACCGCGUCUUUCUGCAACUAUAUAUUACUCUCACUUGUCUCUGCUUUCUCUUCUUCUCUUCCAUUUCCUCUGUAGAGCUCUCUUUUUUCUCACUGUUGAGAUAUGGAGACCUUUCUUUUCACUUCUGAGUCUGUUAAUGAGGGACACCCUGACAAGCUCUGUGACCAAGUCUCAGAUGCCAUUCUUGAUGCCUGCCUAGAACAAGACCCAGAGAGCAAGGUUGCCUGUGAGACCUGUACAAAGACUAACAUGGUCAUGGUCUUUGGUGAGAUAACAACCAAGGCUAAAGUAAACUAUGAGAAAAUCGUUAGAGAUACUUGCAGAGGCAUUGGGUUUACAUCUGCUGAUGUUGGCCUUGAUGCUGAUAAGUGUAAGGUCCUUGUUAACAUUGAGCAACAAAGCCUCGAUAUUGCCCAAGGAGUUCAUGGCCAUCUCACCAAGAAACCUGAGGAAAUCGGAGCUGGUGAUCAAGGCCACAUGUUUGGCUAUGCCACUGAUGAAACUCCUGAGCUUAUGCCACUAACUCAUGUACUUGCCACCAAGCUUGGUGCCAAGCUCACUGA
rnacentral:misc_RNA from 1 species